rnacentral:rRNA from 1 species
CUUCCGUAAGGGUAACCUGCGGAAGGAUCAUUACCGAGUGAGGGCCCUCUGGGUCCAACCUCCCACCCGUGUCUAUCGUACCUUGUUGCUUCGGCGGGCCCGCCGUUUCGACGGCCGCCGGGGAGGCCUUGCGCCCCCGGGCCCGCGCCCGCCGAAGACCCCAACAUGAACGCUGUUCUGAAAGUAUGCAGUCUGAGUUGAUUAUCGUAAUCAGUUAAAACUUUCAACAACGGAUCUCUUGGUUCCGGCAUCGAUGAAGAACGCAGCGAAAUGCGAUAAGUAAUGUGAAUUGCAGAAUUCAGUGAAUCAUCGAGUCUUUGAACGCACAUUGCGCCCCCUGGUAUUCCGGGGGGCAUGCCUGUCCGAGCGUCAUUGCUGCCCUCAAGCACGGCUUGUGUGUUGGGCCCCCGUCCCCCUCUCCCGGGGGACGGGCCCGAAAGGCAGCGGCGGCACCGCGUCCGGUCCUCGAGCGUAUGGGGCUUUGUCACCUGCUCUGUAGGCCCGGCCGGCGCCAGCCGACACCCAACUUUAUUUUUCUAAGGUUGACCUCGGAUCAGGUAGAGGAUACCCGCUGAACUUAAGCAUAUCAAUAAGGCGGAGGAA